AAGAAGUUAAUGUUCGUUAAUAAUGAACAAAAUUACAAAAGAGAAAAAGACAUCGUAUGUCUUAAUUACAGUCUACCCCAUAAGGAACGAAUUCGUUCCCUAAGUUUUUCCCAAUCCUCGUUCUGCCGGAAGGAAGUGAUGUUCAAUUCAGCCGCAACGUCAUCAUCAUCAACCUCCAACUUCUUGUACUGUUCAACCAAGG
rnacentral:lncRNA from 1 species